rnacentral:tRNA from 1 species
GGGGCUGUAGCUCAGGUGGCAGAGCGCCUCGUUCGCAACGAGGAGGUCAGGGGUUCGAGUCCCCUCAGCUCCA